rnacentral:misc_RNA from 1 species
CGGCGAGAUGUCGGUGCUGCUGGGCCAGCCGCAUACCGCGACGGUGCGCGCCACGGUGGCCUCGAAAGUUUAUCAGUUCGAUGACGCCGCCGCGUUCCUGCGCGCACAACCUGCGGUCGCGCUUCUUGUCGCGCAGCUUCUUGCGCACAGGCUCAAUGCGGCGACAACGUAUCUCGCCGACAUCAAGCGGCAGUAUGCCGACCACGACAAUCAUCUGUCGAUGGUCGGCGAUG